rnacentral:lncRNA from 1 species
UCUGAAGAUUGGUUUGAGAUGUUGAAAUCAGCAAUUUUUGCUGUAAAAUCAUCAAAGAGUAAGACGUUGCUGGAUCUGACAUCACGAUGAACGAUAGGUGGCUGAACUUUUUCGUGUAGGUAUUCGAGGCCUUUUGCUGCACCAUAGGCAAUUUUAACUCUCUGAUUUAUAGGCGGCUGAACUUUUUCGUGUAGGUAUUCGAGGCCUUUUGCUGCACCAUAAGCAAUUUUAACUCUCUGAUUCCAGGUAAGAACAGGACCUGGCUCAGCACCUUGUACACCUUUUCUAC